rfam:Flavihumibacter sp. CACIAM 22H1 scaffold00443, whole genome shotgun sequence.
GGGGCUGUACUGGUUUCGACAGCGUAGUUCUUUGAGAGUGUAAGCAUGCCGUGCGUUGGAUAAUUAGCACGUAAAUCUGAAUACCCGAACUUCAAAUGGCAAUACACAGUAUGCCAUGGCUGCCUAAUCAGUGAUUAAGUAGUCAUUAGGGCCGCGUUGAGCAGGUUGACCUGUUACCAAGCUCCGCCGCCGACUCAAAACCAAAUACAGGUUGCUGUUCAACCAGGCUGUGCGUUGAACAAAAGACUAUCCAGCUAAGGAAGGAAUCGGUUGGUUGUUUUCCUGUUCUUUCCCGACAACGAAUAAUCAACUAAGCAUGUAGAAAGCUUUCGGCGAAUAUGUUUGGACGGGGGUUCGACUCCCCCCAGCUCCACUU